GUCGUCACCCAUGUGCUUCAUGAUGUCAUCAGGGUCAACCAGUGAACUCUCAUCAUCUAAUGGAGGCAAGAGAGACAUGACUCAGAAAGUGAGCCCUCAGAGGACAAAGAUUUUUGUUCCUUUUGUUCACUCCUGUGCCCACAAACACCUAGAAUAUUAGCUGGUCCACAAAAAUUGUUGAGAAGAGUUAAACAACUCCCUCACGUGGAACUGAAGGAAACUGAAUUCAACUCCAGGCACCUGGUUCCGGGGCAAAGAUUUUGGAUCAGGUAACCCAAAGGCCCCUCUGAUAUGACCAGGGUUCCUAUGUGUUCCUCUCAAUAGUGCACUUUAUCCUUUUAGCUACUGCCUGUGGGAAUAAAUAGGCUGCCAAUGAUAGCCUGUAUUCCUUGUUAAAAUAUUUUAUACCCACAUUUUUGAUUGUUUUAUAGUUAAACCAUAUUCUUAUGAAUUAAAUCAUCACAGUGUUUGGUAGAAGUUGUGGGGUAGUUGCUGUAGGGGAUGGAUACCCUCAGUCCCAAAAUGGACCUAUUUCCACAUGGGGACUACUUUUGGGCUAAUCAGAGCAAGUUGCCAAGAUCACACCAGAUCAGAUCAUCAGUUGGGUCUCCUAAGGAAAAAUGCCACCAAAAUGGGUGUAAAGGUUGAAGACUGUACCUGCUUCUCUCUUCUCUCCUGAUGAUAUGCCUACUAUUUAUCACAGACUUUGGGUUACUCUGCUGUCAGAGGGUGAUCAGUGAGACCACUGUUAAAAAUUCUAUGCAAGAUGGAGGAAAGACUUUCCCUGUCAGUCUUUACUGAAGCCUUGACCUGUGAUCAGGGCCUAAAGUGGUACAUCACUUACUCCUGUGAUACUCUCAUGUAGUCAAAAAUAGGUUCUUCAGAUUCUGUAGGUCAGACAAGCCUGCUAGUAAGGUAGGGUUUUGAAUUUUCCUGAAAAUAACUGCUAGGACCAUCUCCUUCUAUUCUUGUUACCUAACUGCUGCAUUUUUAUGACUCAUUUUCCAUGGCUGCACUCAAUGGCCUGAAGGCAGGCAAAGCUGGUGAGAUAUGUGUGAAGGUCAUGCAGGACACCCGGGUCAAUAGGGCCCACUGAUGUUCUCUGAGGCCACUAGCUCCGCUCCACCUUUAGGUGCCUGCCCACCCCACCCCCAGUUACACACUCCCAAGGGACCCUAGAUAUCUCCUUUGCAACAUUCAUCACACUCACACUUUUUAAGCAUCUAAAUUCUCCAACAGAGUAUAAGCCCCUUGAGAGCAGUGGCAUAUUUCAUUCAUCACCAUAUACCCUGGAUAUAGGUCACUACCCAGGCUCAUAGUAGGCACUCAGUAAGUAUCUGUUGAUUGGCUAAUUACAAAGAAAUAUACUCAUAGCCCAGUCUGAAGCUUUACAGAUUUUAUGCUAUAUCAAAACUCACAGACACACACAGUAGAGAAAUGUCCCAUAGGACACCGAUGUGUCUGCCCAGCAUUCCUUACCCUGGUGCAGAUACCACCUGGCCUAGUCAAGGUACUCAAUCCUCCUGGCUAUCAUGAGUGGCUGGACCCCUCCCGUGCACAAAUAACAUACACCAGUCAAGCCAAUCACAGCCCUCUCUGGGACUUACUCUUCUCAGGGACUGUAGGCCAAAAGGGGCAUGUGAGUAUGGAGCUGCCAGUGGAGGGAGCCUGCCUCGGAUUGAAAUCAAUACCAGAGACUGAGAAAGCCAACAAAAAAACAACCCAUUGAAACUGUGAAACAGCAAUGAUUAUUUCUUACCUUCA